AGGGGGAGAGAAACCCUCCUUUCUCUCUCUAAAUAUCUCUCUCAUCUCUCUAUAUCUCUCUCUAAAAAUUGGAGGGUUGGUGGAGAUCGAGCUUGCGAACGCGUUGGAGGCGACGGAUCGAGCUUUCGUGCGCCCGUUGGAGCGGCGUGUUUUCGUUGCGGCGUUCACAUUGGGGUAAGCUUUUGGAAUUUGGCUUAAUCCUUAGCUUUAAGAGUUCUAGUAGCCUCUAAUGAUUAUUAUUAGCAUAUUGCUCCAUUUAAUUUGGAUUAUUUGGAGGUUAUUUCAUGUUAGGGCUCAAAAAUGCUAAUUUUGAAAAUAUGAGGGUUUGAUCUAAUUUAACCCUCCGUAAACCUAAUUGCUAGGUAACGAAACACGUUGGCGAAGACAAUUCGGCAAUCCGACGAGCCGUUACAAAGUUAUUAAAGAAACGGACGUUUAGGCUUCGUUUUCGCCUGGAGGGCCGAGGCGACGUCGUAUACUCAUGAAAACGGAUUUGAAGUAUCGUGGCACAUAACCGAAGACCUUUAAUUUUC
rnacentral:lncRNA from 1 species